rnacentral:rRNA from 1 species
AACGAACGCUGGCGGCAUGCCUAACACAUGCAAGUCGAACGAGACCUUCGGGUCUAGUGGCGCACGGGUGCGUAACGCGUGGGAAUCUGCCCUUCGGUUGGGAAUAACUGAGAGAAAUUUCAGCUAAUACCUUAUAAUGUCUUCGGACCAAAGAUUUAUCGCCGAGGGAUGAGCCCGCGUAGGAUUAGGUAGUUGGUGGGGUAAUGGCCUACCAAGCCGACGAUCCUUAGCUGGUCUGAGAGGAUGAUCAGCCACACUGGGACUGAGACACGGCCCAGACUCCUACGGGAGGCAGCAGUGGGGAAUAUUGGACAAUGGGCGAAAGCCUGAUCCAGCUAUGCCGCGUGAGUGAUGAAGGCCUUAGGGUUGUAAAGCUCUUUUACCCGGGAUGAUAAUGACAGUACCGGGAGAAUAAGCUCCGGCUAACUCCGUG